rnacentral:rRNA from 1 species
UUUUUUUUAUUUGUUUUUUAUUUUAUUUUUGUAAAAUAUUUUAAUUUUUUCUUUUUUGUGAAGAUAUUGAAAAUUUGAUUUUUGAACUGGAUUAGUACCCAGGUAAUCAAAAUUUAUUAAUUCGGGAGUAAAGUUUUGUUUAAACCGAAAAAAUAUUGACUGACCUUAGAUUUCUCUUUGGAAUAUGUGUUUGGAGAGCCCUCUUUUAUAGUAAUUUCUUAUUUGCACAUGUAUGAUUGUUUAGUUUUUAUUUUAUUUUGUAAUGCUUUUUUGUAUUUUACAUUAAAAACAGAUAUAUAUUUGGUUUAUGAUUUUAUUGUUCAUGUAUUACUAUUAUUAAUUUUUUUUGGAUUAAUUUUUUAUUUUUUUUUGAAAUUGGAAAAGAAAGUAAUUU